rnacentral:rRNA from 1 species
AUUGAACGCUGGCGGCAUGCCUUACACAUGCAAGUCGAACGGUAACGGGUCCUUCGGGAUGCCGACGAGUGGCGAACGGGUGAGUAAUAUAUCGGAACGUGCCCAGUAGUGGGGGAUAACUGCUCGAAAGAGCAGCUAAUAACGCAUACGACCUGACGGUGACAGGGGGGGAUCGCAAGACCUCCAGAUAUUGGAGAGGCCGAGAUCAGAUUAGCUAGUUGGUGGGGUAAAGGCCUACCAAGGCAACGAUUCGUAGUCGGUCUGAGAGGACGACCAGCCACACUGGGACUGAGACACGGCCCAGACUCCUACGGGAGGCAGCAGUGGGGAAUGUUGUACAAGGGGCGCAAGCCUGAUCCAGCAAUGCCGCGUGCAGGAUGAAGGCCUUCGGGUUGUAAACUGCUUUUGUACGGAGCGAAAAGGCUCUCUCUAAUACAGGGGGCUCAUGACGGUACCGUAAGAAUAAGCACCGGCUAACUACGUGCCAGCCGCCGCCGUAA